UACAGAGGUCCCAAGCGUUGUUCGGAUUCACUGGGCGUAAAGGGUGCGUAGGCGGUCGGGUAAGUCUGAUGUGAAAUCUCACAGCUUAACUGUGAAACUGAAUUGGAUACUAUUCGGCUAGAGAGUUGGAGGGGGGACUGGAAUUCUCGGUGUAGCAGUGAAAUGCGUAGAUAUCGAGAGGAACACCAGUGGCGAAGGCGAGUCCCUGGACAACUUCUGACGCUGAGGCACGAAAGCUAGGGGAGCAAACAGG
rnacentral:rRNA from 1 species